rnacentral:rRNA from 1 species
UUGAGAGCGGCGCACGGGUGCGGAACACGUGUGCAACCUGCCUUUAUCUGGGGGAUAGCCUUUCGAAAGGAAGAUUAAUACCCCAUAAUAUAUUGAGUGGCAUCACUUGAUAUUGAAAACUCCGGUGGAUAGAGAUGGGCACGCGCAAGAUUAGAUAGUUGGUGAGGUAACGGCUCACCAAGUCAAUGAUCUUUAGGGGGCCUGAGAGGGUGAUCCCCCACACUGGUACUGAGACACGGACCAGACUCCUACGGGAGGCAGCAGUGAGGAAUAUUGGACAAUGGGUGAGAGCCUGAUCCAGCCAUCCCGCGUGAAGGACGACUGCCCUAUGGGUUGUAAACUUCUUUUAUACUGGGAUAAACCUACCCUCGUGAGGGUAGCUGAAGGUACAGUAUGAAUAAGCACCGGCUAACUCCGUGCCAGCAGCCGCGGUAAUACGGAGGGUGCAAGCGUUAUCCGGAUUUAUUGGGUUUAAAGGGUCCGUAGGCGGACUCGUAAGUCAGUGGUGAAAUCUCAUAGCUUAACUAUGAAACUGCCAUUGAUACUGCGGGUCUUGAGUAAAGUAGAAGUGGCUGGAAUAAGUAGUGUAGCGGUGAAAUGCAUAGAUAUUACUUAGAACACCAAUUGCGAAGGCAGGUCACUAUGUUUUAACUGACGCUGAUGGACGAAAGCGUGGGGAGCGAACAGGAUUAGAUACCCUGGUAGUCCACGCCGUAAACGAUGCUAACUCGUUUUUGGGUUUUCGGAUUCAGAGACUAAGCGAAAGUGAUAAGUUAGCCACCUGGGGAGUACGUUCGCAAGAAUGAAACUCAAAGGAAUUGACGGGGGCCCGCACAAGCGGUGGAUUAUGUGGUUUAAUUCGAUGAUACGCGAGGAACCUUACCAAGGCUUAAAUGGGAAUUGACAGGUUUAGAAAUAGAUCCUUCUUCGGACAAUUUUCAAGGUGCUGCAUGGUUGUCGUCAGCUCGUGCCGUGAGGUGUUAGGUUAAGUCCUGCAACGAGCGCAACCCCUGUCACUAGUUGCCAUCAUUCAGUUGGGGACUCUAGUGAGACUGCCUACGCAAGUAGAGAGGAAGGUGGGGAUGACGUCAAAUCAUCACGGCCCUUACGCCUUGGGCCACACACGUAAUACAAUGGCCGGUACAGAGGGCAGCUACUAUGCGAAUAGAUGCGAAUCUCGAAAGCCGGUCUCAGU